AGUGAACGCUGGCGGUAGGCCUAACACAUGCAAGUCGAACGGCAGCACAGUAAGAGCUUGCUCUUACGGGUGGCGAGUGGCGGACGGGUGAGGAAUACAUCGGAAUCUACUUUUUCGUGGGGGAUAACGUAGGGAAACUUACGCUAAUACCGCAUACGACCUACGGGUGAAAGCAGGGGAUCUUCGGACCUUGCGCGAUUGAAUGAGCCGAUGUCGGAUUAGCUAGUUGGCGGGGUAAAGGCCCACCAAGGCGACGAUCCGUAGCUGGUCUGAGAGGAUGAUCAGCCACACUGGAACUGAGACACGGUCCAGACUCCUACGGGAGGCAGCAGUGGGGAAUAUUGGACAAGGGGCGCAAGCCUGAUCCAGCCAUACCGCGUGGGUGAAGAAGGCCUUCGGGUUGUAAAGCCCUUUUGUUGGGAAAGAAAAGCAGCAGGUUAAUACCCCGCUGUUCUGACGGUACCCAAAGAAUAAACACCGGCUAACUUCGU
rnacentral:rRNA from 1 species